GACGAACGCUGGCGGCGUGCUUAACACAUGCAAGUCGAACGGAAAGGCCCUGCUUUUGUGGGGUGCUCGAGUGGCGAACGGGUGAGUAACACGUGAGUAACCUGCCCUUGACUUUGGGAUAACUUCAGGAAACUGGGGCUAAUACCGGAUAGGAGCUCCUGCUGCAUGGUGGGGGUUGGAAAGUUUCGGCGGUUGGGGAUGGACUCGCGGCUUAUCAGCUUGUUGGUGAGGUAAUGGCUCACCAAGGCGACGACGGGUAGCCGGCCUGAGAGGGUGACCGGCCACACUGGGACUGAGACACGGCCCAGACUCCUACGGGAGGCAGCAGUGGGGAAUAUUGCACAAUGGGCGCAAGCCUGAUGCAGCGACGCCGCGUGAGGGAUGACGGCCUUCGGGUUGUAAACCUCUUUCAGUAGGGAAGAAGCGAAAGUGACGGUACCUGCAGAAGAAGCACCGGCUAACUACGUG
rnacentral:rRNA from 1 species